rnacentral:rRNA from 1 species
CAGUAGCCGCGGUAAUACGAAGGGGGCUAGCGUUGCUCGGAAUUACUGGGCGUAAAGGGAGCGUAGGCGGACAUUUAAGUCAGGGGUGAAAUCCCAGAGCUCAACUCUGGAACUGCCUUUGAUACUGGGUGUCUUGAGUGUGAUAGAGGUAUGUGGAACUCCGAGUGUAGAGGUGAAAUUCGUAGAUAUCGGGAGGAACAUCAGUGGCGAAGGCGGCCAUCUGGGACAACACUGACGCUGAGGAGCUAAAGUGUGGGGAGCAAACAGGAUUAGAUACCCGAGUAGUCCCUGUCUCUUAUAC